UCCAGUGGUAAUGAAUUCCUCCAGCUUUUGUUUAUCUGGAAAUGUCUUAAUUUCUUUCUCAUUUUUGAAGGACAGUUUUGCCAAAUACAGAAAACUUGGUUGACAGUUUCUUCUUUCAGCACUUUAAACAUAUUGUCCCACUACCUUCCAAUCUUCAAGGUUUCUGCUGGGAAACCUGCUGAUAAUCUUAAUGAGGAUCCCAUGUAUAUGAUAAGGAAAUAGAGGCUCAAGAGUUAAAGUAACAACCCAAGAUGACACACCUGAGGACUGUGAGCUGGAUUCAAAGUCAAGACUCUCCCAACUCCUCGCUAGUCCUGCCCAGUCUCCUGGGAGGAGCCCCAAGAGAGACCCUGGUUCUGAAAAGUGUUGGCCCAGCACACCUGCCCAGCACACCAGGCAGCAGGGAGCCCUUGCCCAGGUCCCCUGCGCCUCCCAGGGCAGCCGACUGCCGUUUCCCAGCAGAGGUUGCCCCGGUUCUCAGGACGGCUCCUGGCUGGAUGGGAGAAGAGGCAGCAGUGCACCACUGUGGGUGCACAGAGUGCUCCAGGAGCACGGAGGGGAGCGAGAUGCAGAAAGGUGAGACCUGUCUGUGGAAAGCAGCAGUUUCCUGUGCAUGUUAACAAUGGACAGUAGGAGCCAUGAUGGCGGGGACUUCAUGUCCACAUGGACUGAUGCUCCUGGGAGGGAUGUGCCACUGUUCCUCCUCUACAAGUAAGCCAGCGCAGGCACAGCUGAGGCGGUGUGUCCGAGGUCAGGUCACAAAGCCAGGGUCGAUCCCAGGUCCUGACUGCUCUGAGCACGGCCUCUUGAGGGUGUAUGCAGAUACAUCUGUUUCCUAUCGUUGGUGGGACACGGAGGACAAGUGGGCUGCCUGAGGGGAGGCCGGUGCUCACGCUGGAGGAGGAAGGGUGGAGGGACAAGCCGGAAAGUUCCAAGCAGCAGACUUAAAGUCAUCAAGGUAGCAGGCAGGGCCAGUGUGGGGACCCAGAUAGCUGCACUGACUUGUCUCCCAAUUACCUAGUGAGAACCUUGAGAUCAAUUAAAACCUGAAGAGAUUCAGACUUUCUCAGUAGAAAGGCCCAGCUCAGCCAGGGCAGAGCCACUCACUGCAGAGCGCAGACACGCCCUGAGUCCAGGGACUGUGGCGGCCAGGAGACAGAAAGACGCACGUGACUGGUGUGAUGUCGAGGAAGAUGGCGGAGUAGGAAGCGGCAGGAACCCAUCCCCGCUUAGACGAGAACCAGAGCGGCAGAGUCUGUCUGAGGUGGCUCUUCUGGGACUCUGGAGCCCAUCUGAACGCUUGCAACUUCCCAGGGAGAGCAUGGCUGGUAAAUUGCAGUUAACUGUCAGUUCCAUUAAGUGUGGUAGUGGCUGCCCUCCCCGCCCCCUGCCCCGAGGGGUCAGCCAUGCCUGUGUUCUGGGUGCAACUGGCUGGAGCCGGGGGAGGUGAUGAGGAGCUUGUCCUCCAACGAUCCUGGCCUGUGUUCUCAUCACUGACGGCUGCUUCUGAUCCAGGAGGUGCAGACACCGGUGCGCAGCUGCUGGUGAACCCCCCAGAGCAGAGCUGUAAAGCUGAAGGGCCUUCCGGGCAUUUGAGGAACAGCUUCAGUUGUUUGGCUCUCAAAAUGGGAAAAGGGGGAAAAUAUAACCAAACAAUUAAGGAUUAAGAAAUUCAGAAGCAACCGCAGGGGCAACCUCUGUGGCCUUAGGAUGGUCUCCUGCCAAAAACUAGUAAGCAGCCAGGACCUGCAGUCACAAAACCACAAGAAAAUUAAUUCUGCUGACAACCCGAAGGAGCCUGGGGGGCUUCCUCUCUGGUUGGGCCUCGACAGGGGAGUGCAGACUGGCUGGUGCCUCGAGGGCGGCCGUGUGAGGCCCUGGGCAGGGGACCGAGUUACUCUGGGAGUCCUGAUCUAUGAACAGCGUGAUAACAAACGUAUGUUGUUAAACAUAACAACAGCAGCAGCAAAGACAAAGAGCUGGCCGUGUAAACAAAGGAAUUCAGAAAGUUCACACCCAGGGAAACACAGGGUCAGGAGAGACCUGAGAAGACCUUACGCUUCCACCUCAGGCUGGUCAGACACUUCCGACAACUGGAAACCAACCCCCAACCCUGAGGACGGAGGAGAGUCUGAUUCCAUGUUUACAUGAUCAGAGUCAAAUGUCCAGUUUUCAACAAAAAGUCAUAGGCACACAGAGAGACCAGGAAGUGUGGCCCAGUCUAAGAAGCAAAUUAAAUGAAUAGAAACUGUCACUGGAGAAGCACAGACAGCAGACAGACUCUAAAACAACUAUCCGAAAGCACUAAAGGAAGACACGGACAAAGACAGGAAAACUAUAUGUAUAUCGUUGUAUCAGUAAAGAGGUAAAAGUUAUAAAAAGGAACCAAAUCCACAUUAGGUUGUUAUAACUUUAGGAUGUCGAGUACAGUCCCCGUGGAAACCACAAAGAAAGCAUCUACAGAAUAUUCACAAAAGCAAAUGAGAAGGGAAAAAGUCACCAUAAAAAAAAAUCAAACACAGAAGGCGGCAGUUAACAGAGGAAGUGAGGGGUAGGUAUACAGAAAAUGAAAAAUAAUUACGUACUUUAAAUGUAUUAAAUGCUGUCACCGAGACACAGAGAUUGAAGAUGGCAGAUCCAGGACACUCCAGGCCCUUGCUGCCCACACAAGUCAAUGUCCCUCAUCAGUACUGAUGCAAAAGUCUUCAACACAAUAUUAGCAAACUGAAUCCAACAGCAUAGUAAAAGGAUUAUACAUCACAACAAAGCAGGAAUUAUUCCUGGAAUGCAAGGAUCACCCAACAUACAAAAGUCAAUCAGUGUAAAAUACCACAUUAACAGAAUAAGGGGGAAAAUCAAAUGGUUAUCUCAGUUGAUGCAGCAGAACCAUUUGACAGAAUUCUACACCUUACCAUGAUAAAAAUACUCAACAAACUAAGACUGAAGGAAACUUCCUCAACAUAGUAAAAGCCACAUAUGACAAACCCACAGCUAAUAUACUCAACGGUGAAAGACUGAAAGCUUUUCCACUCAGAUCAGGAACCAGACAAGGAUGCCCACCUUCACUGCUUCUAUUCAGCGUAGCAACUGGAGGUCCUACUCAGAGCAAUUAGCAAGAAAAAGAAAAGGCAUCCAAAUUGGAAGGGAAGAAAUAAAAUUACGUUUGCAGACAAUGUGAUUUUAUGUGUAGAAAACCCUAAGAUUACACACAUUUAGAACUAAUAAAUGAAAUCAACAAAGUUGAAGGAUACAAAAAUCAACACACCAAAAUCAGUAGUUUCUAUAUGCUAACAAUGAACAAUCUGAAAAGGAAACUGAGAAGACAAUUCCAUUUAAAAUAGCAUUGAAAAGAAUACAAUAGUUAGGAAUAAACUUAACCAAGGAGGCAAAAGACUUAUACACAAAACUACAGAACACUGCUGAAAGAAAUUAAAGAGGCUACAGAAAUUAAUCUGUAGAGUCUCUGGGUACCAUGGCCUGGUCAAGCUGCCACACAGAAUUCACGAUCACACCAGGUGUUCCUCAAAUGAAUGGAAAAAGAGGAGUAUUAUUCAGCCAUAAAAAAGAAUAAAAACUUGACAUGUUCCCACAUGGAGGGACCUUGAAAAUGUUAUGCUACAGGAAGUAAGUCACAGAAGGACAAAUAAUUUAUGAUUCCACUUCUAUGAAGUACCUCGAAUAGGCAAAUUCAUAGAGGCAGAAAGAAUGGAGGUUACUGGGGGCGGUGAGGAGGAGGAAUGGGAGUUACUGGCCGAUGGGCAGAGUUGCAGUUUGGGGAGAUGACGACAUCUGGGUAUAUAGAUGGUGAUGAUUAUACAAUAUCAUGAAUUAUUUAAUGCCACUACAUUGUACACUUAUCAGUGGUUAAUAUCAAUAUACAAAUUGAUAUUAUGUAUAUUUUACCAUGAUAAAAAUAUUUUAAAAAGAGAAAUAAGAACCCAAACUAAUAAACAAGAUCAGUGUGUGAAGGAGAAGUCAGCAGGUUCAAAACUGUCUCCACCCCUAGGUUUUUGCUCAGCAAGACCUUCCGGCUGCCUGCCGUGUUCUCGUCGGUCCCUCCGAUUCCAGCCUCAAGUUCGCCUCUUACCCUUAGGAGGGCUUUGUCACAUUACUGACUUCCUUGCUUGUGGGAUGGUUUAAAAAAAAAAAAGUUGGAACCUCACUUCCACACCAAGUAAGAGACGCCAGAAA